CCUACGGGAGGCAGCAGUGGGGAAUUUUGGACAAUGGGCGCAAGCCUGAUCCAGCAAUGCCGCGUGAGUGAAGAAGGCCUUCGGGUUGUAAAGCUCUUUUGUCAGGGAAGAAAAGGGUCUGGCUAAUAUCUAGGCCUCAUGACGGUACCUGAAGAAUAAGCACCGGCUAACUACGUGCCAGCAGCCGCGGUAAUACGUAGGGUGCAAGCGUUAAUCGGAAUUACUGGGCGUAAAGCGUGCGCAGGCGGUUUUGUAAGACUGUCGUGAAAUCCCCGGGCUCAACCUGGGAAUGGCGAUGGUGACUGCAAGGCUAGAGUUUGGCAGAGGGGGGUAGAAUUCCACGUGUAGCAGUGAAAUGCGUAGAUAUGUGGAGGAACACCGAUGGCGAAGGCAGCCCCCUGGGUCAAAACUGACGCUCAUGCACGAAAGCGUGGGGAGCAAACAGGAUUAGAUACCCUGGUAGUCCACGCCCUAAACCGAUGUCUACUAGUUGUCGGGUCUUAAUUGACUUGGUAACGCAGCUAACGCGUGAAGUAGACCGCCUGGGGAGUACGGUCGCAAGAUUAAAACUCAAAUGAGUAGAGNGNGAGAGNGCGACGACGACGACGAGGAGGAGG
rnacentral:rRNA from 1 species